UACGUAGGGUGCAAGCGUUAAUCGGAAUUACUGGGCGUAAAGUGUGCGCAGGCGGUGUUGCAAGUCUGGCGUGAAAGCCGCGGGCUCAACCUCCGAAUUGCGUUGGAGACUGCAAGGCUUGAGUCUGGGAGAGGGGAGCAGAAUUCCACGUGUAGCGGUGAAAUGCGUAGAGAUGUGGAGGAACACCGGUGGCGAAGGCAGCCCCCUG
rnacentral:rRNA from 1 species